AUGAAUCAUUUCGAUUAGAGCAGGAACAAAAAAAAAAGAUAAAAACACCGUUUAGUCAUCUGAAAUACUAAAUAGGAAAUCUCGUGGGUUUUAAUUUUUUCUUGUUGCAUUAAAAUAUCUGUCGGUUAUUUUAAAUGACACGAUUUUUGUUAAAUCUGCAAUUUUUUUUUUCAUUGAUGAUAUAAUUAAAGAGAAAACAAAAUCAAAAGUUAUUAAAUCUAACUUACCUGCCAAGGCCGAGGAUACCAUUGGCACCUCUAGUUAGGCAGAGCAAACGUAACUUCUCGAUAGAAUCCGUGGUUGUAUGUAUGGCCCUCUGGGCCUUAUUAAUCAUUUCAGUCUCUUGCCUCGUAGUCGCACUCUGAGGUCUGUUGAACAUGUCUAGAAGAGAGGGAACGAUCGUGUGAAUCAUUGUGACUCAGAUAAAGAACAUGGAGGAGGGAGAAUACAACAAGAGAAAAUAAAUUCAGUUCGACUGUGUAAAUCGAGCCUUUAAAGGAUUUUCGUGAUGUUUUCUUUUUUCUUUUUUUUCUCUCUCCCUCUCUUUUUUUCUUGUUUUUAUAUAUUCAAACAUAACUUAUAACGUAUAUAUUAUAUCGACGUAUGGUUAUCUUUGUGUAAUAUGCGCGAUAACGUACGAUCAAUAAGUAUCCUUUCGUUUAUUUAUUUGUUGAAGAAAAUGAGCUCUGAAAAUAGAAUCGAAUAGUAAAAAUGAAUAAGAAAAAAAAUAAUAAUAAUAGUAAAUAAAUAAAUAGAGGAAAAGAAGACAAUGAAAUUUUUAUAAAAUUGUUAAUUUGGAUACGUUGAGAGAUAUCGAUAGUAAUUGAAAAUAGAAGUAAUUCGGGGUGAUAAGGAAAACUGAAAAGUUUCUUUUUCGAAUAGAUUUAAAUUAAAUCGAUAGAAAACAAUAUCUAACGACAAAUACUACUUUUCAGAUAAUUUAUAAAAGUCACAUCAACAAAUGGAAACGUUCGACUCGAAGGACUGCCGGGGUUAGACUAGUAAACAGCAGAUAGUAGGAAAUGAUUCCUUAAAUAUUUAAGAAACGUUCAAUGUCAGUCGUCUUGUUUUAUCCAAGGAUAAGUUUCCUAU